rnacentral:rRNA from 1 species
UACGAAGGGGGCUAGCGUUGUUCGGAAUUACUGGGCGUAAAGGGCGCGUAGGCGGCUGUGCAAGUCAGGUGUGAAAGCCCUGGGCUCAACCCAGGAUGUGCACUUGAUACUGCACGGCUAGAGUGUCGGAGAGGAUGGUGGAAUUCCCAGUGUAGAGGUGAAAUUCGUAGAUAUUGGGGAAGAACACCGGUGGCGAAGGGCGACCAUCUGGACGACAACUGACGCUGAGGCGGCGAAAAGCGUGGGGAGCAAACAGGG